rnacentral:rRNA from 1 species
GUGGGGAAUAUUGGACAAUGGGCGAAAGCCUGAUCCAGCCAUGCCGCGUGUGUGAAGAAGGUCUUCGGAUUGUAAAGCACUUUAAGUUGGGAGGAAGGGCAGUAAGUUAAUACCUUGCUGUUUUGACGUUACCGACAGAAUAAGCACCGGCUAACUUCGUGCCAGCAGCCGCGGUAAUACGAAGGGUGCAAGCGUUAAUCGGAAUUACUGGGCGUAAAGCGCGCGUAGGUGGUUUUGUAAGUUGGAGGUGAAAUCCCCGGGCUCAACCUGGGAACUGCCUCCAAAACUGCAUGACUAGAGUACGGUAGAGGGUAGUGGAAUUUCCUGUGUAGCGGUGAAAUGCGUAGAUAUAGGAAGGAACACCAGUAGCGAAGGCGACUACCUGGACUGAUACUGACACUGAGGUGCGAAAGCGUGGGGAGCAAACAGGAUUAGAAACCCGGGUAGUCC